GAUGAACGCUGGCGGCGUGCUUAACACAUGCCAGUCGAACGGAAAGGCCCAAGCUUGCUUGGGUACUCGAGUGGCGAACGGGUGAGUAACACGUGGGUGAUCUGCCCUGCACUUCGGGAUAAGCCUGGGAAACUGGGUCUAAUACCGGAUAGGACCACAUUUUGGAUGGUGUGGUGGAAAGUUUUUCGGUGUGGGAUGAGCUCGCGGCCUAUCAGCUUGUUGGUGGGGUAAUGGCCUACCAAGGCGUCGACGGGUAGACGGACAGUGGGGGUGUACGGCCACAUUGGGACUGAGGGACGGCCGAGACUCCUAAGGGAGGCAGCAGGGGGGAAUAUUGCACAAUGGGCGCAGGCCUGAUGCAGCGACGCCGCGUGGGGGAUGACGGCCUUCGGGUUGUAAACUCCUUUCGCUAGGGACGAAGCGUUAUGUGACGGUACCUGGAGAAGAAGCACCGGCUAACUACGUG
rnacentral:rRNA from 1 species